rnacentral:rRNA from 1 species
CGGAUCCGCGGCCGCUGCAGAGUUUGAUCCUGGCUCAGGAUGAACGCUGGCGGUAUGCUUAACACAUGCAAGUCGAACGGAAGUCUUCGGACUUUAGUGGCGGACGGGUGAGUAACGCGUGAGAACCUACCCUUAGGAUGGGGAUAACAGCUGGAAACGGCUGCUAAUACCCGAUGUGCCGAGAGGUGAAAGAUUUAUUGCCUGAGGAAGGGCUCGCGUCCGAUUAGCUAGUUGGAGUGGUAAUGGCACCCCAAGGCGACGAUCGGUAGCUGGUCUGAGAGGAUGAUCAGCCACACUGGGACUGAGACACGGCCCAGACUCCUACGGGAGGCAGCAGUGGGGAAUUUUCCGCAAUGGGCGCAAGCUUGACGGAGCAAUACCGCGUGCGGGAGGACGGCCUUUGGGUUGUAAACCGCUUUUCUCAGGGAAGAAGUUCUUACGGUACCUGAGGAAUCAGCAUCGGCUAACUCCGUGCCAGCAGCCGCGGUGAUACGGGGGGUGCAAGCGUUAUCCGGGGUUGUUGGGCGUGGGGGGUCCCGGGG